AUGAAUGUUUGAAUAUUCGUGAACUUGUUUGAGUUAGUGAUUUUCAUUAUGCAUGCGAUUAGGGAUUUUUGGAUCUGUGGUUUUGAUUUUAUGGAUAAUCGGUUUUGGAAUUAUGUAUUUAUACUUUGUGGUUUUCUACCCCUCGAGAUAGUCGGAUUUCAAAAUAGAGUUUUCGAGUGGGAAACCAUUUUAAAAAGGUUUUCGAAUGGUUUUUUAUUAAUGAUUGAAUAGAAUUUAAAAACAAAGCUUUCGGGUGGGAAGCAUUUUUAAAUAGGAUGACUGUUGUACUGUGUAUCGCAUCAUCCAGCGCCUGAGGAGUGUUUAAAGGCAUGCAUCAUUUCUAAGGAUCGCUAGCUGUAUGGAAAUGUAUUGCAUGAAUUGAUUGUGGAUUGGUAAAUGUAGGUUGUUGUUGU
rnacentral:lncRNA from 1 species